rnacentral:sRNA from 1 species
UACGUAAAACACCUUAGACUUUUUAUUG